GACGAACGCUGGCGGCGUGCUUAACACAUGCAAGUCGAACGGAAAGGCCCUGCUUUUGCGGGGUGCUCGAGUGGCGAACGGGUGAGUAACACGUGAGUAACCUGCCCUUGACUUUGGGAUAACUUCAGGAAACUGGGGCUAAUACCGGAUAGGAGCUCCUGCUGCAUGGUGGGGGUUGGAAAGAUUCGGCGGUUGGGGAUGGUCUCGCGGCUUAUCAGCUUGUUGGUGGGGUAGGGGCUUACCAAGGUUUUGACGGGUAGCCGGCAUGGGAGGUUGGCCGGGGACAAGAGGACUGAGGUACGGCGCAGAAUCGUACGGGAGGCAACAGUGGGGAACAUUGCGCAAUGGGCGGAAGCGUGAGGCAGCAACGCUGGGUGCGGGAUAACGUCUUUCUAGUGGAAAACCGCUUUCGCAUGUGACGAAGCGUGAGUGACGGUAAUGGGUAAGGAAGCACCGGCUAACUACGUG
rnacentral:rRNA from 1 species